GCAGUCGAACGGUACAGGAUGUGCUUGCCUCGCUGACGAGUGGCGGACGGGUGAGUAAUGCUUGGGAACUUGCCUUUGCGAGGGGGAUAACAGUUGGAAACGACUGCUAAUACCGCAUAAUGUCUACGGACCAAACGGGGCUUCGGCUCCGGCGCAAAGAUAGGCCCAAGUGAGAUUAGCUAGUUGGUGAGGUAAAGGCUCACCAAGGCGACGAUCUCUAGCUGUUCUGAGAGGAAGAUCAGCCACACUGGGACUGAGACACGGCCCACACUCCUACGGGAGGCAGCAGUGGGGAAUAUUGCACAAUGGGGGAAACCCUGAUGCAGCCAUGCCGCGUGUGUGAAGAAGGCCUUCGGGUUGUAAAGCACUUUCAGUUGUGAGGAAAGGUUGGUAGUUAAUACCUGCCAGCUGUGACGUUAACAACAGAAGAAGCACCGGCUAACUCCGUGCCAGCAGCCGCGGUAAUACGGAGGGUGCGAGCGUUAAUCGGAAUUACUGGGCGUAAAGCGCACGCAGGCGGUUUGUUAAGCUAGAUGUGAAAGCCCCGGGCUCAACCUGGGAUGGUCAUUUAGAACUGGCAGACUAGAGUCUU
rnacentral:rRNA from 1 species